AGAGUUUGAUCCUGGCUCAGAAUGAACGCUGGCGGCGUGCUUAACACAUGCAAGUCGAACGAGAAAGGGAUUGCUUGCAAUCCCGAGUAGAGUGGCGCACGGGUGAGUAACACGUAGAUAAUCUGCCUUCAUGCCUGGGAUAACUAUUCGAAAGGGUAGCUAAUACCGGAUAAAGUCGAUCUACACAAGUAGAUUGAUGAAAGAUUGCCUCUUCUUGAAAGCAAUUGUUUGGAGAUGAGUUUGCGUACCAUUAGCUUGUUGGUGGGGUAAAGGCCUACCAAGGCAACGAUGGUUAGCUGGUCUGAGAGGAUGAUCAGCCACACUGGAACUGGAACACGGUCCAGACUCCUACGGGAGGCAGCAGUGAGGAAUUUUGCGCAAUGGGGGCAACCCUGACGCAGCAACGCCGCGUGAGUGAAGAAGGCCUUUGGGUCGUAAAGCUCUGUCAACAGGGAAGAAGUUACAAUUGUUUAAUAGAUGGUUGUAUCGACGGUACCUGUGGAGGAAGCGCCGGCUAACUCCGUGCCAGCAGCCGCGGUAAUACGGGGGGGCGCAAGCGUUAUUCGGAAUUAUUGGGCGUAAAGGGCGCGCAGGCGGUCUUGUCCGUCAGGUGUGAAAGCUCGGGGCUCAACCCCGGAAGUGCACUUGAAACAGCAAGACUUGAAUACGGGAGAGGAAAGCGGAAUUCCUGGUGUAGAGGUGAAAUUCGUAGAUAUCAGGAGGAACACCGAUGGCGAAGGCAGCUUUCUGGACCGAUAUUGACGCUGAGGCGCGAAGGCGUGGGUAGCAAACGGGAUUAGAUACCCUGGUAGUCG
rnacentral:rRNA from 1 species